CACGAUUUGUGAUAGAGACGAGAGGGAUUUGGAUCCUUGGAUUCGAGGUCAAGGAGGCCUCCUUGCUACACUAACAGAUAAGCCAAAUGAUUUUUCUUACCUUUCCAUCCCUUGCAAUCUUAUUUAAAUACAAUUGGUGAGCUAAGCUAACAGAAUUGCACGCACGAUUUUAUACUCACAAUUGCACUACUGAUUGCCUAACAAUUUCGUAACAGAUUUGAUUUUAACAGAAUGGAAAUAUCUGUAACUAAGUUCUAUACUAUUACAUAUACUCAGGUAUACUGAUCCAAAUACGUAGGACGUUUGGUGCUUCGUUUGGGCCUCUCCCGGCUGGUCUUGACAUCACUGGGCUCGCUGCUUCCUUGUGUCUCAGGUAUGUCUUCAGUUGGAUUCUAAGAAUUGCUAGCAAUUUGUUUGAGAGGUGGAGGGCUUAAAAAAUUACAAAUAUUGAAAAAAGAUGUCUUUAGGAAAGUUCAGUUUAUAAAUGUGUUAUCUUUGUGCAAGACUUUCAAAAGUGUAGAGUCAUCUCAUGUGUAUGGAAUUGGAUGCUCUUCUGUUAGUGGAACUCUUAAUGUUCGAGAGACCCACAAAAACUUGUGUUUUUCUCUCUCAUACUAGACAUUUCUGAAGAGAAAACGAAGGAGAGAUAAUUAAAAACAAAAAACUGAAGGAAGUUUUGGAGUCGUCCUGAUUUCUGUAGCUAGAUGUCAACUGUUGAUUAAUCUGACAAUGGAGAGAUUAACUCAGAUAGUUGUUCGAUUUAUCAAAAAGCACGAGUUUAUCAACAAGUUAGUAAUACAAUAGACACCGUACGGGAAUUGGCAAGAUACAGAGAUUCACCUAAAAUAUACAUAUCUUCAAAAUUGAAAUAAUUAAAAAUAUUUAGCUAAUUCCUACUCUUCGUUUUGAAAAGAAAACACACAAAGAAAAAAACUCAAAAACAAAUAUUUUAAAUCACACAGUUAUGAGUGGAUCGAUAUCUCAAGUUCUAUCUUUAUUGGGUCUUUCUUUAUAGUCUUCUUUGUUAAUUUCUAUUUUAUCAAUAUGUGUCUCGUUGAGACCUGACUUCAGACGAGUAACAUCAACCCUUUUCCAAAGCAGUACAUGCUUUUCUUCAAAGCAAUUUGAAAUAUGAAAAAGGAGUUUUGUUGGUGAAACAGGAGUAUGUAUUCUCAUCUCAUUAUUUAUUACUAUUUUUUUUAUUGAAAUAGUUUUUAUUUAAAAUCCAAACAAUCUUUUCACAAGCGUUUGCUCCCAUCCAAUCGGGGGAAUGCCGUGUCACAGUUAAUUAUUCUUUUUUUUAUAUAAAAACAAAGAAACAAAUUUUAUUUUUACUAUUUAGUAGUACAAUGAAAAAUCAAAUUAUCAUUGUGUAACUUCCUUUUUCACUUUCAUUUAAAAAAACUCAAUUAUAAUACAGUUGCUAGACAUAUGAGAUGUUUUCAAUUAUUUCACAAAAUAUAUUUUAAAUAAUCAAAUUUAAAAAGUAAAAUAGAUUUUAGUACAAUUUUUGUAAUUUUAGCUUUCUUUAGGAUGGAUGUUUAAUUUUUGAAAACUUGAAGUAAUCUCUAACAAGCAGUGAGGUCAACUUCCUCUUCAAGUUGGGGAGGUUGCUUUCUUCUUUAAAAUGUUUAUUUAUAGUGUGAGAAAUGACUCCUAAAAACCCAUUGAUUAAACACCAAUAAAUUGUUUUUCAAAAUUUCAAGUCACCUCAGUUGGAAAAUAUCACGCACAUCAUUUAUCACAAACUUUCAGUUCUCAACUUGCUAUAACAUAAAUUCUCUCACUUGAAUUAAUAUUUAUAAAUAUAGAUAGAUUUUUCCAGCACAACGUUAAAGUGAGUCAAGUGGGAAGACACAACCUUUGGAUAAGGUAUCUUUACUUUUAGGAAACCUUGUUCAUAAAUCUUUUCUGGCUUGGUGCUAGACUUUGAAAAGUGUGAUCAUGUCACAGGGUGCCCCAUUCGUGAUAAUUGAUUAUUCCUUUAUAAGCGUGUCCUAGCUCCAAUUCUUGCAUGUCCUCACCACAAUACACCAUUCACUUGCAAGAAUCUGCAACCUCUGAUUGUAUUCUUGAAGCCCAAAAAUCCUGUAAUACGUGUAUCAUGGUAUCCAUCAAGAUUCUAGCCUGCUGGCAGAUUCUUUUGGUCUUUCUAAUACACCCUUCACCCCAAGUUGUUUGCUUUUCCAAAAUGGUUUCUUUGGCCUCUGCUGCCACCACAGUUUCGAGGAACCAGACCUCCAGCAGGAAGAAGAGUAAGGAAGGAAAGAAGCACGCAAGAGAGGGAGAGAAUUGCUCAAGUUGUCCCUUGCUAGCAGACCAUGAUCAAGCCAAGGAUCUUCUAGAAGUUGGCUACCCUCAUCCUUCCUCACACGUAGUCGUUGAGGUAAGUGGGUUUUGCAACUUUCCUUUUGGGCUUCCUUUCUUCCUGCACCCCCUAUUUUGCUAUCCUGAUUGUUGUCUCCUUUGUUGUUUGCACCUUCUUAUCUGUUGCCUCCUCUGUAACUUGCAUAUUCGUAUCAUCCCUUGGCGCUUGCAAAACCACCUUGUCCUCAAGGUGGUAAUUUUCGCAUAAGUGUGUCCAGCUCUCCCAUGAAGUAUCAUCAGGAGAAAGUCCAUUCCACUGGAUUAGCACCUCCCAAGGAUCCUCUGGUGAAGCUUUGCGGUAGUCCAGAAUGGCUAAGGGAUACACCAGUGGUUGAUCAUUGAGACAAUCAGUGGGCAACUCGACCCCUGCCAUGCUAUCUGGUGCUCCUUUGAAUGGUUUCAUCUUAGAGAGUUGAAACACAAGGUGUAUCUUCACCCCUUCUGGAAAUUACAACUUAUAGGCCACUGGGACCAGACGUUCUAUGAUUUGGAAGGGCCCAUAGUAACGUUGGGCCAGCUUGCCAGAUAAUGCCUUCGAUCCUUUAGCGGUCGUCUGUCGACGAGGACGCAAUUUCAAGAGAACCCAAUCACCAAUCUUAUAUUGCACCUCCCUCCGUUUCUCAUCAGCUUGUUUCUUCAUUUUUGCUUGUGCCUUCAGGAGCUUGUUCCUGAUACUUUGGAAAGUUUCAUCUCAAUCAGUCAACAUUUCUUCCACCGCCACGAUGUUUAAAGACCCUGCAAUGUACUCAGGAAAAUUAAAUGGUUUUCUACCGAAGGUGACUUCAUACGGCGUUGCCCCAGUGCCAGCAUUCCAAGAUGUGUUAUGAGACCACUCGACCCAUGGCAGAAGUUUGCCCCAUAAGCUUGGUCGGCGGUGAACAAAGGCCCUCAAGUACUGUUCCACGACGCGAUUCAGAACUUCUGUCUGCCCAUCACUUUGUGGGUGAUAAGAAGAGCUCAUACGGAGCAAGGUCCCACUUGCACGAAAGAGUUCCUGCCAAAAACGACUGAUGAACAGGGGGUCUCUAUCGGAGACAAAGCUUCUGGGGAUCCCAUGGAGUUUGACGACGAUGUUGACAAAUAAAGACGCAGUCAUGUGUGCCGUAUGAGCAGUGGGAAGGAGGCCCAAGUGAAUUCCCUUGAAAAAGCGAUCCACAACGACCAAAAUGGUAGUAUUGCCUUGAUAUGGUGGAAGCCCGACGAUGAAGUCUAAUGGCAAAUCCUCCCAUGGACGGCAAGGCACCGGCAAGGGGCAUAAUAACCCUGCCAUUUUUUGAGCUUCAUAUUUAGUGACUUGACAAUCCACAUAAUUAGCCACAAAUCUUUUAACAUCUUCGUGUAGACCUGUCCAAUGGAAAUUCUCUGUUAUGUGUGCUAGGGUCUUAGUAAUGCCGGCGUGACCCCCUGUCGGGGUUGUGUGAUACCCAGCAAGCAAUACAGGGAUCAUGGGAAUAUCCUGUGGUAACCAAAUUCAAGCAGAUUGAAGCACCAAGUUCUGGGAGAGCGUGAAUUAGGGAUGUAGCGAAGGAUUAUCUCGCAGAGAUUGACGCAGAGUGCAAUACUCAAAGUUGUCAUCCAGUUGGUGGCGGAGUUCUUCAAGAAAAAGCAAUGAUGGUAUGGAUAGAAUCAUGGACAUAGAGGCGUCAGAUUUCGGUAGGCGCGACAAGGAAUCAGCUGCUUGGUUAUGACUGUCGGAGCGGUAUUAAAUCUCGUAGUCGUAUCCCAAUAACCUGGCCAAGUACAUAUGUUGCUCAGGUGUCUGGAUUACCUGAGUCAACAGUUCCUUUAAGCUCUUAUGAUCAGUGAUGAUGACAAAAUGGUGGCCAAGCAAGUAUUGCCUCCACUUCUUAACGGUGGUAGUGAUGGCACAUAAGUCACGAACAUACGCUAAGGCACCCAAGAGUUUGGGGGGAAACGUCUUGCUGAAGAAGGCGAUCGGAUGCCCCUUUUGAGAAAGAACCGCACUCAUCCCUACUCCCGACGCGUCAGUCUCGAUGGUGAAGGGCACAGUGAAGUCUGGUAAGGCUAAAACAGGGGCCGUAGACAGUGCGAGUUUGAGGUUUUCAAAAGCUAUCUGAGCUUGGGGGUCACUGGAAGGAUUCGAGAGUAGUGACUGCUACCAAUGGAGCCACAAUAGUCGCAUACCCCCGAAUGAAUUUCCUAUAAAAUUCGGCGAGCCCAAGGAAGCUUCUCACGGCCUUGAUAGAGCGUGGCAGAGGCCAUUGUUGAAUGGCGGCAAACUUCAAAGCUAUCGGCUCCACCCCCUAUCCCGAGACCAUGUGGCCAAGGUAUUCCACCUGAGGUUGUGCAAAGGAGCAUUUGGUUAGUUUUAAAGAAAAUUGAUUGUCUAGUAACACUUGAAAAGCUGUUUCUAGAUGUUGCAAGUGAGCCUCGAAGGAGGAGCUGUAUAUCAAGAUAUCGUCAAAGAAGACGAUAAUAAAUUGUCGGAGAUACGACUGGAAGAGCAUGUUCAUGGUAGCCUGGAACAAAGAGGGAGCAUUGCAGAGCCCAAACGACAUCACCUUAAACUCAUUCUGAUUUGAUGGUACCCUUGCAACAGAUCGAGCUUCGAAAAACAUUGGGCGCCCCCUAAUUCAUCAAGUAAUUCAUCAAUAGUGGGUAUGGGAAAUCGAUCUCUGAUUGUUAUCGCAUUCAGAGCACGGUAAUCCACGCAGAACCGCCACGUGCCAUCUGACUUACGAACGAGCAACACCGGCGACGAGAAUGGGCUCGUGUUAGGUUGAAUGAUCCCUUGCUGCAACAUAGAAUCCACCUGAGCUUCUAUCUCUUGCUUUUGAUAGUGAAGGUAACGAUAGGGACGAACAUUCACUGUUAAUGCAUGAGGAAGAAGAUGAAUAUGGUGGUCCGUCGUCCUCUCCGGGGGUAACGGCUGAGGUUGCCUGAAGAGAAGCUUGAAUUUAUUGAGGAGGUGUUGAACUUCUGGUGGUGGUGCAGGGGUGGAGGGACUUGGAACAGGUUCAGAUAACAUUGUAAUAUGGAAGUACGAUGUAUCUAACUAAUGACGGAACAUCCGGCGAAACUGGUGCUGGGAAAGAAGGUUUGAGUCUGUUGCAUGCUCACCCUAUAGCAUCACGAGACGGUCCUCAUAAAAGAACUGCAUAGAUAAGGUAUUAUAAUUGGUGAGCAUAGGACCCAGCGUUUUAAGCCACUAUACACCAAAGACAACAUUGGCGCCAGAAAUAGGAAGAAUGUAUAAAUGGAGGGUAAAAGAGUGAUCCUGAAUGUCGACAGGGACGACUUCACAAAGGCUGGUGCAUUCCAAGUAUUGGCUGUUGCCAACCAUUACACGCUGAGGUGUCUCGAUCUUUCGGCUAGGUAAGCCCAAUUGGGCGACAAUCUGAGGUUGGACAAAAUUAUGGGUACUUCCCCCGUCAAUGAGCACCGUGACGCGGUGGCCGAAGAUGAGGUUGAGAAGGCGGACAGAGGUGAGCUCGUCCAGUGUCAAGCAACGCACAAAGGGUGACUGAUUUCGAGUAGGUGACGGCAAUAGUAGAGGUAACGGUGGGGAACGCACUUGCAAAUGAGGAAGUGGUGGGGGACGAGGUUGAGAAGGCGGACGAAGGUCCGAGAGCUUCUCCUCUUGGAGACGGGCCAGGCUGGCCGCCUGAACCAGCAUGAGGGGCUGGUGUGCUUGUACCUCGCGACGAAUCUCCGCGGACAAGCCAGAGAUGAAACAAGCCAAGAGGAAGGGGGGCGGCAACCUGAUGAUCCUGUUUGCCAAGUCCUCAAACUUCGACAGGUAUUCCGCUAUUGUUCCCUUCUGUGUUAGCUUAAACAAUGUGCAUGUUGGGUCAUCAUAUUGAGAUGGUGCAAACCUUGUUUGCAAGGCCUGUAGAAAUGCCGGCCACGAUGUAAAUUGAGCAUUGCUUGUCAUGUACUAGAACCAAGCAAGAGCUCGGCCUUCCAUGUAAAAGGAGGCUAUGGUUAGGCGGUCCUUUUCGGGUGUAUUGUGAUACUGAAAGUAUUGGUUGAUCUUAAAGAUCCAACCAAGUGUUUCUGUGCCAUCAAAACAUGGAAUGUCGAGUUUCAUUUUGUGUGUGGUUGCAGGUCUAGGAGUAAGAGUGGACGAAAUGGGUAUGAGAUUGGCUAUGGGUGAAGCAACAGGAGCGAGGCGGGUUAGGAUUUCGUUUAAUUUCAGAGACAUGGUUUAAAGGGUGUCUCCUAAACGGGCGAGGACAUUAGCUAGGUGUGGGGGGUUGGGUGAAUCGGCCAUGGAAGAAAGAACGAGAGCACCAAAUUGUUACGGGUAAUGAACUGGUUUUCGAGGAACCAGACCUCCAACAGGAAGAAGAGUAAGGAAGGAAAGAAGCACACGAGAGAGGGAGAGGUAAUUUGUAAUUUUCAUUAUGAUCCUUGCUUGUUAUUUACAUCACUGUAUAUAAUACUCUAAUAACAGAAUUGAUCCUAAGAGAAUAUUUGCCAUAACAUAAUUGUUGAAGCUAUCCCCUACUAGCAGACCAUGAUCAAGCCAAGGAUCUUCUAGAAGUUGGCUACCCUCAUCCUUCCUCACACGUAGUCGUUGAGGUAAGUGGGUUUUGCAACUUUCCUUUUGGGCUUCCUUUCUUCCUGCACCCCGUAUUUUGCUAUCCUGAUUGUUGUCUCUUUUGUUGUUUGCACCUUCUUAUCUGCUACCUCCUCUAUAACUUGCAUAUACGUAUCAGUUUCUUUAUGCAUAAUCCAUUCACAAUUAAUCCAUCCAUUACAUAAAAAUAAAACAAAUAGAUGGAUACAAAUUUAUCUAUUUAAUUUUAUGGAUGAUUAAUGAUCCAUCUAUUAUUUUAAAAAUCUUAUAAAAUAUUUAAUAGAUUAAAAUUGAUCCAACUUAAUAAGUAAAGAAUUUGUGGGCAAUUUUUGACCAAUGCUAACCAUGACUUUUUUCGGUUAUCAUCGGUCGAUACUAUUUCUUUAGCAAACAUUGAUCAAUGUCGAUUAGAGUUUUUUUGUCCCACAUUGGCUGAUGAUGUUUUUUCAAUCGACGAUGUCGAUGGUAUUUUUUGGACGAUGUUGACUAAGUUCUUUUUUGGCCGACUUUGGUUAGGAUAAUUUUUUUGGCCAAUGUCAUCCAGAGCUUUUUCGACCUACGUGAGUUGGUGAUAUUUUCAACCAACACUAGCUGAUUCUAUUUUUCGGACGAUGCCAACUACGAUUUUUUUUUUAUCGAAUUUGGUCAGUUAUUUUUUGGUCGACACCAACUAAUUUUUUUUUUUGGAUAACAUCAAUUGAUGAUAUUUUUUGAUUGAUGUCUACCAUGAUUUGUUUUUAUCAAUGUCUGAUGAGGCUAUUUUUUUGUUAAUAUCAGCUAGGAUUGUUUGGUCGACAUUUGUACAAGCUAACCUUUGGUCGACUUUAACAAUGAUUUUUGGUCAACAUCAACCAUGAAUUUUUUUUCUAUUGGUUAGGUUUUUUAGUCAAUGUCAAUAAAGACUAUUUUACGGUUAAUGUCAACUAAAAAAUAUCAUUAGUCAAUGUCGUCCAAAAAAUCUUGUCAAGAUCAGCCAAAAAUUACUCUAGUGAACUAUCUAUUAAAAAAAUCCUAACCAACAUCUCUCAAAAAAUAACAAUUGCCGAUGUCGAAUGAAAAAACCAUAGCUAACGUCCGUCUAAAAAUCCUUCCAAGCAUUCGCCAAAAAUCCUUGUCACGGUCAACCAAAAAAAAUCCAAUUGACAUUAAGCAAGAAAUUCCUAACCAACGUUACUCAAAAAAUAAUCUUGACCGAUAUUGACCAAAAAAACCCUAAUCAAUGUUAAAAAAAAAUAGUCACCAUCAACGUUGGCAAAAAGAACAAGUCAGCGUUGACAAAAAAAAAUACCUCUUAAAAUUUAGAAUGUUUAAAUAUAAUAAGUAACAAAGAAAUUAAAAGUAUUAUUGAUAUAUUUGAAAAUUUAGAAUGUUUAAAAAUCAUUCCUCUCUUAAUAGUUAAGAUUAAAAUAAAAAAAAUGAUCAGAGUCCAUGCGUAUUCUUAUCCUAUCCAUCAAUUAAGGUAUCCAAGUCAGUUACUUAAGUAAAAAUGUGUGAAUAAUUGUAAGUUUCCGUGUUAAAUUUUAGAUUAAAAAAAAACUCUUAAGAGUGACUUUGUACUUGCGUUGUUAAAUACCCACUUUAUAAGCAAUAAAAAAACUAAAAGAGACAAUAAAUUGUAAAAGUAAAAUUUGAGAGUAGAGUUAGAAGAAUAAGAUAACAAGAAAAUUAAACAGCUCUAAUGAAAAAUACAAAUUCAGAAUAUUGUAAUGGAGAUGUGGGAGGGCAAAGUCCGCAAUCUUCAAAUGUGGGUGCAACGGACAUGCUCCUAUAUAUAGCAUUAAAAUAUUGCCACAA